UAGCCUUGACAUUGAUAGAAUACACCAGAGAUGGAGUAGUGCCUUUCGGGGAACUUGAAAACAGGUGCUGCACGGCUGUCGUCAGCUCGUGUCGUGAGAUGUUGGGUUAAGUCCCGCAACGAGCGCAACCCUCGUCCUUAGUUACUAACGGUUCGGCCGAGGACUCUAAGGAGACUGCCUUCGUAAGGAGGAGGAAGGUGAGGACGACGUCAAGUCAUCAUGGCCCUUACGGCUAGGGCAACACACGUGCUACAAUGGUUAGGACAAUGAGAAGCGAUACCGCGAGGUGGAGCAAAUCUAUAAACCUAAUCUCAGUUCGGAUAGCAGUCUGCAACUCGACUGCUUGAAGCUGGAAUCACUAGUAAUCGUAAAUCAGCUAUGUUACGGUGAAUACGUUCCCGGGUCU
rnacentral:rRNA from 1 species